rnacentral:tRNA from 1 species
GACCGCGUAACUCAGUUGGUUAGAGUGUGGAGCUAAUACUACGCCUAGUAUACUCCAAAGUCGCCAGUUCGAGCCUGGUCGUGGUCA